GAGAUAUGGAAGUCUGUGAAUAUUUUGGAAUUUUUUGAAGUGCCAUUGCCAUGUAAAGGAGACUCAGCCCUCAGGGGUAUUUACCACUUUUUGAAAACUUUUGUUGAUCUGCUGGCGGUUGUGGUUAAUUUGGGUUUCACGUUUUGCAUAUUCUGGAAGGCGUGUACAGUUACGGGUACUAAGUUAGUCCUACAUGUGGUUACUGAAGUUCAAUAGUUUACGCCUAGAAAAUUUUUAGUUAAGAGCUAUAUUUUGAAGGAAGUAAGUGCUUUGAAGAUGCGCUUCAGUACGUCAAGGUGAAGGGUGUUACUGUGGUUAAUGAAUUAAAAGGAAAUUUCGAUGACUAGGAUUUACCUGAAUUUCUUCAAGAGGUUGCGGAGGAUAUCUAAAACCAGGUGCCCUUUAAUUUUCUAUAACCAGAGGAACCAGACAUGGAAGGUGAAUGAUGAGAAAAGGAAGACUAGCUAAACUAACUACAAAGAAACUAGAGAAUUGAGUUAAGUAUACUAGAUGACCGAAAGACGAUGAUGAAGCAAAUUAUAAAACACUGCCGGAGAAGACCAGUUGUACACAAGGAGCAGAGGUAAAGUGAAAGUAGAUAACCUUCUAGGUAUCAAACUGUAGACGAUGACGAGGCAUAGCUCCUUUUCGUCAACGAGGAAGGAUAACAAAAGAUUUGGAGUAAAGAUAAUACUACACAAGAGUAAUUCUCUCGUGACCACGACAACGAAAAUAUAAAAUUUGGUUGACCAUGGCCUAAAAGAAAUCAGAUUAAGAAAAACAUCAUGAAGAGAGAAACUUAAGAGAAACAAACAGAUGAUCGAUGUAUUUUGUAUUAACAACCAUCAGGAUGGUCAUUAAAUAAAAACAUUGUUCCAGUAUUAAAUAUUUUAUUAUAUUUUAAUUUAAUUCCAGUAUAUUUUACUUAUUUAGUUCCAUUAUUUACAUGAGUAAGUUACGAUACUUACGCCGGUGUAGAGAAAAUUAGCAGCUCUCUCCUCCCUUCAUUUUAAGCAGACACAAGCUCACUUACGCCAGUGUAGAGAACGUUGUUGGGCUUUAUGCUCCCUUCAAUUUAAGUAGACGUAAGCUCUACUCCCUCCCAUUGUAGUCAACGCAGAAGGGUUCUAUUGCUUCUACGCUGUAGUCGACCAUGAAGGGGUUUCUAAGCCUUUACUUCUGGACUUUCAAACAGCAGGUGGAAAGGUGGAAUCGGAUGUCAAAGUUUUCUUCUGGUAUUUUUAAUGUAAUUGGGUUGAUAAUCUUAAUUACCUUAAACUUUAUCAAUGUUAACGUAUUUAUCUUUUCCAUACCGCAACCCUGUAAUAAAAAUAAAUGUUAACGUAUUUAUCUUUUCCAUACCGCAAC